GACGAACGCUGGCGGCGUGCCUAAUACAUGCAAGUAGAACGCACAGUUUAUACCGUAGCUUGCUACACCAUAGACUGUGAGUUGCGAACGGGUGAGUAACGCGUAGGUAACCUGCCUGGUAGCGUGGGAUAACUAUUGGAAACGAUAGCUAAUACCGCAUAAUAUUAAUUAUUGCAUGAUAAUUAAUUGAAAGGUGCAAUUGCACCACUACCAGAUGGACCUGCGUUGUAUUAGCUAGUAGGGGAGGUAACGGCUCACCUAGGCGACGAUACAUAGCCGACCAGAGAGGGGGCUAGGCCAAACUGGGAUUGAGACAUGGCCCAGAAUACUACGGGAGGCAGAAGUAGGGAAGUCUAGGCAAUGGCAGAAAGUCUGACCGAGCAACGACGCGUGAGUGAAGAAGGUAUUCGGAUCGUAAAGCUCUGUUGUAAGAGAAGAACGGGUGUGAGAGUGGAAAGUUCACACUGUGACGGUAUCUUACCAGAAAGGGACGGCUAACUACGUG
rnacentral:rRNA from 1 species